AGUGAACGCUGGCGGUAGGCCUAACACAUGCAAGUCGAACGGCAGCACAGUAAGAGCUUGCUCUUACGGGUGGCGAGUGGCGGACGGGUGAGGAAUACAUCGGAAUCUACUUUUUCGUGGGGGAUAACGUAGGGAAACUUACGCUAAUACCGCAUACGACCUACGGGUGAAAGCAGGGGAUCUUCGGACCUUGCGCGAUUGAAUGAGCCGAUGUCGGAUUAGCUAGUUGGCGGGGUAAAGGCCCACCAAGGCGACGAUCCGUAGCUGGUCUGAGAGGAUGAUCAGCCAAACUGGAACUGAGACACGGUCCAGACCCCUACGGGAGGCAGCAGUGGGGAAUAUUGGAAAAUGGGGGCAAGCCUGAUCCCGCCAUCCCGCGGGGGUGAAGAAGGCCUUCGGGUUGUAAAGCCCUUUUGUUGGGAAAGAAAAGCAGCAGGUUAAUACCCCGCUGUUCUGACGGGACCCAAAGAAUAAGCACCGGCUAACUUCGG
rnacentral:rRNA from 1 species